rnacentral:rRNA from 1 species
UGGGGAAUAUUGGACAAUGGAGGAAACUCUGAUCCAGCAAUUCUGUGUGUGUGAAGAAGGCUUUAGGACUGUAAAACACUUUUAGUAGGGAAGAAAAAAAUGACGGUACCUACAGAAGAAGCAACGGCUAAAUACGUGCCAGCAGCCGCGGUAAUACGUAUGUUGCGAGCGUUAUCCGGAAUUAUUGGGCUUAAAGGGCAUCUAGGCGGUAAGACAAGUUGAAGGUGAAAACCUGUGGCUCAACCAUAGGCUUGCCUACAAAACUGUUGAACUAGAGUACUGGAAAGGUGGGUGGAACUACACGAGUAGAGGUGAAAUUCGUAGAUAUGUGUAGGAAUGCCGAUGAUGAAGAUAACUCACUGGACAGAAACUGACGCUGAAGUGCGAAAGCUAGGGGAGCAAACAGG